rnacentral:rRNA from 1 species
GAUAGACGCUGGCGGCGUGCAUAACACAUGCAAGUCGAACGAUGAAGAUUAAAAGAUUUCUUCGGAAUGAACUUAAUUGGCUUAGUGGCGGACGGGUGAGUAACGCGUGAGUAACCUGCCUUGUACAAGGGGAUAGCCGUUGGAAACGACGAAUAAUACCCUAUGACAUCAAAUAAUCGCAUGAUAAUUUGAUCAAAGAUUUAUCGGUAUAAGAUGGACUCGCGUCUGAUUAGCUAGUUGGUAGAGUAAAAGCCUACCAAGGCAACGAUCAGUAGCCGGCUUGAGAGAGUGUACGGCCACAUUGGGACUGAGACACGGCCCAGACUCCUACGGGAGGCAGCAGUGGGGAAUUUUGCACAAUGGGGGAAACCCUGAUGCAGCGACGCCGCGUGAUUUAGAAGGCCUUCGGGUUGUAAAAAUCUUUUGUAUGGGAAGAAAAUGACAGUACCAUACGAAUAAGGACCGGCUAAUUACGUG